rnacentral:rRNA from 1 species
GACGAACGCUGGCGGCGUGCUUAACACAUGCAAGUCGAACGCUGAAGACCUGGCUUUUGUUGGGUUGGAUGAGUGGCGAACGGGUGAGUAACACGUGAGUAACCUGCCCUCUUCUUUGGGAUAACGCCCGGAAACGGGUGCUAAUACUGGAUAUUCACUGGCCUUCGCAUGGGGGUUGGUGGAAAGGUUUGUUCUGGUGGGGGAUGGGCUCGCGGCCUAUCAGCUUGUUGGUGGGGUGAUGGCCUACCAAGGCUUUGACGGGUAGCCGGCCUGAGAGGGUGACCGGUCACAUUGGGACUGAGAUACGGCCCAGACGCCUACGGGAGGCAGCAGUGGGGAAUAUUGCACAAUGGGCGAAAGCCUGAUGCAGCGACGCCGCGUGAGGGAUGGAGGCCUUCGGGUUGUAAACCUCUUUCGCUCAUGGUCAAGCCGCAACUGUGGGUUGUGGUGAGGGUAGUGGGUAAAGAAGCGCCGGCUAACUACGUG